rnacentral:rRNA from 1 species
UACGUAGGGUGCAAGCGUUGUCCGGAAUUAUUGGGCGUAAAGAGCUUGUAGGCGGUUUGUCGCGUCUGCUGUGAAAUUUCGGGGCUCAACCCCGAACUUGCAGUGGGUACGGGCAGACUAGGGUGUGGUAGGGGAGACUGGAAUUCCUGGUGUAGCGGUGAAAUGCGCAGAUAUCAGGAGGAACACCGAUGGCGAAGGCAGGUCUCUGGGCCAUAACUGACGCUGAGAAGCGAAAGCAUGGGGAGCGAACAGG